rnacentral:rRNA from 1 species
AUUGAACGCUGGCGGCAUGCCUUACACAUGCAAGUCGAACGGCAGCACGGGUGCUUGCACCUGGUGGCGAGUGGCGAACGGGUGAGUAAUACAUCGGAACAUGUCCUGUAGUGGGGGAUAGCCCGGCGAAAGCCGGAUUAAUACCGCAUACGACCUACGGAUGAAAGCGGGGGGCCUUCGGCGCUCGCGCUAUGGGGUUGGCCGAUGGCUGAUUAGCUAGUUGGUGGGGUAAAGGCCUACCAAGGCGACGAUCAGUAGCUGGUCUGAGAGGACGACCAGCCACACUGGGACUGAGACACGGCCCAGACUCCUACGGGAGGCAGCAGUGGGGAAUUUUGGACAAUGGGCGAAAGCCUGAUCCAGCAAUGCCGCGUGUGUGAAGAAGGCCUUCGGGUUGUAAAGCACUUUUGUCCGGAAAGAAAUCCUUGGCCCUAAUACGGUCGGGGGAUGACGGUACCGGAAGAAUAAGCACCGGCUAACUACGUG